rnacentral:lncRNA from 1 species
AAGUCAUGAUGGCACCUACUAUAACCCACCAGUAGGUAAGCCAACCCGUAACCCAGAACAACAAGUAAUGGGUCUGAGGGUAGAAACUAAACAAGAGUAGGCAAAUAACAAUAUAAACAGGCGGAAGCAAACCAAAAACAUAUAUACAAAUAAAGAUCCCUCCCAGAACUUGGAAGUCACUAGUACAGAGCUACUAACAAAAUGAGUACAAGUCCCAAAAGUGGACAACAGAGACUGGGCUGUCUCGAAAGGUAAAAGACAAGUCUAUAUAUACAGAUGGAGACUGAAAUAGUACAAAACGUCGUGUGCUCACUCCCGUCUCCGGAUCAGUCUGCUCCAAGCUCGAUCAACGCUGGCUACUAGUGCCCGGACC